GCCCCAAUGGUCUAGUGGAUAGGAUUUGACCCUGCGGUGUUUUUCAAUGCUGAAAGGUCAAGGCCCGGGUUCGAUCCCCGGUUGGGGCA
rnacentral:tRNA from 1 species